UGGGGAAUAUUGGGCAAUGGACGAAAGUCUGACCCAGCGACGCCGCGUGAGGGAUGAAGAUCUUCGGAUUGUAAACCUUUGUCAACAGGGACGAAGCAAGUGACGGUACCUGUGGAGGAAGCCAUGGCUAACUACGUGCCAGCAGCCGCGGUAAUACGUAGGUGGCGAGCGUUGUCCGGAAUUAUUGGGCGUAAAGGGAGCGCAGGUGGGAAAGUAAGUCAGUCUUAAAAGUUCGGGGCUCAACCCCGUGAUGGGAUUGAAACUACUUUUCUUGAGUGCAGGAGAGGAAAGCGGAAUUCCUAGUGUAGCGGUGAAAUGCGUAGAUAUUAGGAGGAACACCAGUGGCGAAGGCGGCUUUCUGGAUUGUAACUGACACUGGGGCUCGAAAGCGUGGGGAGCGAACAGGAUUAGAUACCCUGGUAGU
rnacentral:rRNA from 1 species